rnacentral:rRNA from 1 species
AGCGAACGCUGGCGGCAGGCCUAACACAUGCAAGUCGAACGAACUCUUCGGAGUUAGUGGCGGACGGGUGAGUAACACGUGGGAACGUGCCUUUAGGUUCGGAAUAACUCAGGGAAACUUGAGCUAAUACCGGAUGUGCCCUUCGGGGGAAAGAUUUAUCGCCUUUAGAGCGGCCCGCGUCUGAUUAGCUAGUUGGUGAGGUAAAGGCUCACCAAGGCGACGAUCAGUAGCUGGUCUGAGAGGAUGAUCAGCCACAUUGGGACUGAGACACGGCCCCAACUCCUACGGGAGGCAGCAGUGGGGAAUCUUGCGCAAUGGGCGAAGGCCUGACGCAGCCAUGCCGCGUGAAUGAUGAAGGUCUUAGGAUUGUAAAAUUCUUUCACCGGGGACGAUAAUGACGGUACCCGGAGAAGAAGCCCCGGCUAACUUCGUGCCAGCCGCCGCCGUAAUAC